AGUGAACGCUGGCGGCGUGCCUAAUACAUGCAAGUCGAACGGAAUUUAAAAGAGCUUGCUCUUUUAAAUUUAGUGGCGCACGGGUGAGUAAUAUAUAGCUAAUCUGCCCCUUGCUGGAGGACAACAGUUAGAAAUGACUGCUAAUACUCCAUACUCCUUUUUACCAUAAGAUAAAUCGGGAAAGAAUUUCGGCAAGGGAUGAGACUAUAUCGUAUCAGCUAGUCGGUGGGGUAACGGCCUACCGAGGCUAUGACGCGUAACUGGUCUGAGAGGAUGAUCAGUCACAUUGGAACUGAGACACGGUCCAAACUCCUACGGGAGGCAGCAGUAGGGAAUAUUGCGCAAUGGGGGAAAACCCCGACGCAGCAAACGCCCGCGGGGAG
rnacentral:rRNA from 1 species